rnacentral:lncRNA from 7 species
AAAUCCUGUUGUGAUUCAGGGAGGAGGAGGAGGUAAUUUGGAGGGGGCCUUGCUGGAGCAUGUGACAAGGAAGAAGAUAGUACUUGUUCACUUAAGUGACAAACAGAACAUUUGGAAGUGACACAGCAGUUGGUGGAGACCUGUAUUUGCUUUUUGGCCGAGGCUUCCAAAGAGGUCACUGACAGCACCUUGCUACAUUGCAGUCUCUGGAAGUUACUUCAAAAAAGCAACUACAGCAGUUCAGGCAGAGAGCUGGUCUAACAUUACUCUUACUCUAACAGUGGCCAGAAUUAGCUGUCAAGGGAAGAUUAUGCACAAGGCUGAUAAAUGAACAGGUAAACAAACUAUACAGGCUAUGAUUACUUUCGAGGAAAUCUACUUUAGGUCUGUUUCAAUUCAUAUUCUGGACAUAGAAAUGAUAUUUCUUUCUAUUUUUUUUUCUGGACACAUUUCAGCUUCACUACUCAAGGACUGAAUGGAUCAUGAUUACAGAGUUUUUUUAAGGGCAUCUGUUCUCAGCCACAGCUGAGGAUGGGGCCCAUGGAGCUGACUGGAAGGAUCCACCUAGAAUUUGUUGAAUUAAGUCCUUGCACCUGGAUAUAAUUGUCAUGCUGCUGUGCUGGGGUUUUCUUAAGCUACUGGUAAAACAAAUUAGCUCAAUUUAAACUGGCAUCCAGUAGGGAAGCAACAACUCACCUCAUAUAAUAUUUUUCAAAUAAUUAUUUUUCUAUUGCCAGUUUUGCUUCAUGAAUGUUUUCCAAAAGGCAGGGUGAAUUGUUGGGAAAUUUUUUUUUAAGUUAAGCACAAGACACAACAAAAAACAUUCUAUUCUGCAUAUCUGCUGAGUUGCAACUAAUAUUAGAGUACUGUGCACUUAAUAAUUGUAUGUGACUGUCUUAAAUAUAAAAGCCACAAACAUAAAUGAAGGUAACUAUAGAUACAACAGGCCACAAAUACAAUAUAACAACCCUCCCCCACCCUUUCCCAAACAAUUUUCAGUGCAUAUACUUCAUACUCCUUUUGCCAGAUUUAGCACUGUAAUGAUAUAACUGCUUUUACAUUUGGGAAAAAUUCAUGGAAGUUUUUUUGGUUGAACAGUAGACAAAGGUAUUCAUUUAUGUCUGACACGGGAAUUCGUAUAAAUACCAUGGGAUCUCAUUUCCUUUUAUAGUUUAGAGCCUUUAAACUUGACAACAAAAUUCAUAAGCUUCCUGGAAGGUCCACAAAGGCUCCUUGCCUCGGCUGCACUCGCAGUGGCAGUACUUUGCUUGAAUCCCUGGAAUGUGUGCAUCUGUGUUAGCUUCAGCUUCCCUUAAUAUCCUCCAAAUGUAGACUCCAGUGGAAAAGGAUGAAAAAUCAUUUAUUCAGCUGAGUGCUUCAGAGUGACUUCUG